GUCGAGAAUUUUUCACAAUGGGGGAAACCCUGAUGGAGCGACGCCGCGUGGAGGAUGAAGGCCCUCGGGUUGUAAACUCCUGUCAUGCGGGAACAAGAAAGUGAUAGUACCGCAAGAGGAAGAGACGGCUAACUCUGUGCCAGCAGCCGCGGUAAUACAGAGGUCUCAAGCGUUGUUCGGAUUCAUUGGGCGUAAAGGGUGCGUAGGUGGCGAUGCAAGUCUGGUGUGAAAUCUCGGAGCUCAACUCCGAAAUUGCACCGGAUACUGCGUUGCUAGAGGAUUGUAGAGGAGAGUGGAAUUCACGGUGUAGCAGUGAAAUGCGUAGAUAUCGUGAGGAAGACCAGUUGCGAAGGCGACUCUCUGGGCAAUUCCUGACACUGAGGCACGAAGGCCAGGGGAGCAAACGGGAUUAGAUACCCUAGUAGUCC
rnacentral:rRNA from 1 species